GAUGAACGCUGGCGGCGUGCCUAAUACAUGCAAGUCGAACGAAGAUCUAGCUUGCUAGAUCUUAGUGGCGAACGGGUGAGUAAUACAUAAAUAAUCUGCCCAUAUGACUGGGAUAACUAUUGGAAACGAUAGCUAAUACCGGAUAGGUUGAUCGGAGGCAUCUCUGGUGAAUUAAAGUAGAAUUUCUACACAAAUGGAUGAGUUUAUGGCGCAUUAGUUAGUUGGUGGGGUAACGGCCUACCAAGACGAUGAUGCGUAGCCGACCUGAGAGGGUGACCGGCAACGCUGGGACUGAGACACGGCCCAGACUCCUACGGGAGGCAGCAGUAGGGAAUUUUCGGCAAUGGGCGCAAGCCUGACCGAGCAACGCCGCGUGAGUGAUUAAGGCCUUCGGGUUGUAAAGCUCUGUUGUAAGGGAAGAACAUUCAGGAUAGGAAAUGAUCUUGAGCUGACGGUACCUUACCAGAAAGCCACGGCUAACUACGUGCCAGCCGCCGCGGUAA
rnacentral:rRNA from 1 species